rnacentral:rRNA from 1 species
GUGUCAGCAGCCGCGGUAAUACGGAGGGUGCGAGCGUUAAUCGGAAUUACUGGGCGUAAAGCGCACGCAGGCGGUUUGUUAAGCUAGAUGUGAAAGCCCCGGGCUCAACCUGGGAUGGUCAUUUAGAACUGGCAGACUAGAGUCUUGGAGAGGGGAGUGGAAUUCCAGGUGUAGCGGUGAAAUGCGUAGAUAUCUGGAGGAACAUCAGUGGCGAAGGCGACUCCCUGGCCAAAGACUGACGCUCAUGUGCGAAAGUGUGGGUAGCGAACAGGAUUAGAUACCCUGGUAGUCCACACCGUAAACGCUGUCUACUAGCUGUUUGUGACUUUAAGUCGUGAGUAGCGAAGCUAACGCGCUAAGUAGACCGCCUGGGGAGUACGGCCGCAAGGUUAAAACUUAAAUGAAUUGACGGGG